CCUAAAGCAAAUGGAGGUGAAUGAUGCCCACAUUAUACUGGUUUUCCAGACCUGUCAAAGAAUUCCCAAUACAUCAAGUAGUGUUGACCAACUUUGCUUUGCCUAUGGUCUCCAGAACAGAUGCACGUGUUUCAUACAAGUCAACGACCCCACUGGAAUCACAACUAUAGCCACAAAAAGUGUUCUGAAUAAUGGAGGACAAACGGCCUGAAGGAGGGGAAGAAGAUGAUCUUGAAGUCCAAAAUUACAUUACUGUCAUCGAGAUCAGAAUUGGGAUAAUGCCAGGAUGUGAAAUGCUCUCAUUCUGGAGAGAUGAGAAAGGCAAGACCUGUGUAUCUGGGAGAGGGGCACAGCCUUUUGCCAUUGUACCUAAUGCUGGAGCCAAUCUCUGCUCUUCUUUCAGAUAAUGACGUGGAGUGAAUUUCCAGACUGUAUCUAUUAGGAGCACAAAAUGAACCGUGAAGAGGAAAGGUUUAGGGGCUUCAGUUUAUCUCCACACUUUGAGUGGCACGUGCCAUGUGCAAUAGCUGUUCCCUGAGGUUGAGAGUACACAUCCUCUCUGUGGAGGGGGUGAGUUCCUCAGGCUGACACAUUAGCCAAAGGCAAGCAAGGAUUUAUUGAAGAUACUCAGAAGAGGACCAAUGAGAUGAGCAGGCUUUCUUUCACAGGGCCAGUGUUAUGACCACCAGGCCAGAUAAUCAACCCCAUUGCAAAUACAAGUUUUUA
ensembl:lncRNA